rnacentral:rRNA from 1 species
UGGGGAAUAUUGGACAAUGGGCGAAAGCCUGAUCCAGCAAUGCCGCGUGAGUGAUGAAGGCCCUAGGGUUGUAAAGCUCUUUUACCCGGGAUGAUAAUGACAGUACCGGGAGAAUAAGCUCCGGCUAACUUCGUGCCAGCAGCCGCGGUAAUACGAGGGGAGCUAGCGUUGUUCGGAAUUACUGGGCGUAAAGCGCGCGUAGGCGGUUUUUUAAGUCAGAGGUGAAAGCCCGGGGCUCAACCCCGGAAUAGCCUUUGAAACUGGAAAACUAGAAUCUUGGAGAGGUCAGUGGAAUUCCGAGUGUAGAGGUCAAAUUCGUAGAUAUUCGGAAGAACACCAGUGGCGAAGGCGACUGACUGGACAAGUAUUGACGCUGAGGUGCGAAAGCGUGGGGAGCAAACA